UUGGUCAACAUUGAUGAAGGGUAACAAUUCCCCCUCCCUGUGGCCGUCCUGUACUGUACUGAGCAGGGCCGUCCCCUGGGGCUGGUGAAAAACCAAUGCAAAAUACCCAUUGAGCAGGUUGGCUUUUUCUUGGGCGUCAGUUGUCAGUUGACCCAUAUGGCACAAAGGGGGUUAAAAGGCUCCCAGGGAAAGAAGCUGGGGGGUGGUGUACCGUAUAUGUUAGGUGCUGAAACACGAGGCCAGAGUACUUUCUUAGGGUCUGAGAAGAGACCUAGGGGCUGCAAGGCUGGCAGCAGCAGUGCCACAUGAGGGAACUCACUCAGAGGGAGAGAAGGAAGAUUGAGGUGUUGAGAGAGAAGCAGAGAGCCAGAGUUAGCUUCUCAGGGUCUGUGAGAAGGCCCAGGACUGUGAAUUUACUCUUUAUGGACCAUGUUUAUGUUUGUUUUACUGAUUUGAGAAUUUGUGCUUAUGGAAAGAAGUGCCCAGGAAAAUAAAGGACUGAUCUGAGUAAUCCCCAACCUGUUACACAUGGUGGAGAAUGCAGGCAGCAGUUUAAAGUGAACUGCAGCAAUUUAAAGAGACAUCCAACAUGGAGAAGAGGGCCCUUUUAAAAGGGAAGAAAUAGCUGUCUGCUGUACGUUGGGGGAUGAAGGGUAUCAAGAGAGGAGUGAAGUCUAGUGCAGCCCCUGAUGCCCAAGAGGUACUACUAUAUGAACUACUAAAAUAUGAACUACUAGUCUUAUCUAUUUUCUGAUGUGCUAGGUGAGGGUGCAGCAUACCUGCAGUAGGAACUGGAGGUGGAAUGCUAAAGCUACAAGCAAGCUGAGGCCGAAGUAGCUUCCCUGAAGUAGGACAGGAAGCAAAGACAGGAAAUAAAGAGGGAAAAAAUAAGGAACUGAGAUGCGUGUUAGCAGCUGAGGUUGAUAGAAUUAAGGAGAUCAUGCAGCUAAUCGCAGCAGAAUCUGAAAAGAGCCAGACGUGAGAAGAGAAGCUGAGAGCACGCCAAGAAAAGGCUGUAAAAGAGGAAACUCAAGAAGCAAGCUAGAAAGCAGAAGAAUCAAAAAAGGUCAGAAAGGUGGAAAAACAUGAAGGAGAACAAAAGGGGAAAAAAUAGAAAAGGUGACAUGGAUCACUGGCAAUGUUUUUUCAUAACAAUUACUUCAGGUUCAUCUCUUUAGUUAACUUGCCUAAGUGAUUCUUCAAAAUAACACUUGAACUGCUGUACUCUCCAUUGAUUGCUGCACCCACUCAAGAAACACCAAGGCUAUGCUACACUGAAAGGGUUGACUUUAAAGUUGUCUUAAAAUCCAUACCCACAGACUACUGUACACUGUAAAUACCUAAGCUUGAUAUGGCUAAGCUCUGGUGAGGUGGACUCCUCCUAUGUUUGCUUCCCAGCUGUCCUUUUUCUGUUUAUUUGUGCAGUGGGCAUAGGAAGUAUAAUGCCACAGUUCCCCAGAUUUGACUUCUUUCCUUUUUUUUUCCAGUUCCUCUCUGCCACCUGUAAGUGGAGGCUUUGGUGCUUACUCCAAGAUAUGAUUAGAGGAAGAAGUUCACCUUAAGCUGCUUGAGAAGAACCUUAACAUCACCAGAAUUUCACUAUAUAUAACCAGGGGGCAUAUGCUAUGGCUCUUAGUACUGCAAUAAACUGAACUUCUCUAUGAAUUCUUUCCCAGGAAAUUAUAGGAGAACUUGUUGUGGUGAUGACAACUGACACGUCUUUCUUUAGUUGCAUCCUACCCCCACUCAGCUUGACAUGGCCAGAGGCUUCAGUGCCUCCCUCUACUGAGAACCGGGGGUCAUGUGGGGCAUAUAGAAAGGCAUUGGGGACUAGUGGCAUUUGAGUAAAGCUAGCUUGUGUUUAUAUUGCACAGAGGUCGUCUUAGUAGUUGCUGAAUUUAAAUCUGUUAUGACAGAUUCUGGUUUUGUUAUAGUAUUCCUGUUAUAAAAGUAUUGCAUGCCUCAGUUUCCUUGAUUAGUCUGUACAGGAAGGGGUUAACUAUAUCAGACCUGUGAGGACCUACAGGAGUGCUCAGUUAGUGGGGAAUGCACCAGCAGGAGAUCAAAGAGUCCAUUUCCAUAUGAAAACACAAGAUAGCAGGAAGUGGACUCCAGCUUCAACAUCUGAAAGCUGUUUGUAGUUUCAAAGAAGGACUUAAAAGCACUCCUAGAUCAGAGGUUCCCAACCAGCAGUGUGCAAGCCACACUGUGGCAUGGGCAGCUGCUGUGUGGCAUGUGAGCCUCUGGAUCCCUGAUCUCUGUAAAGGGAAGCAGUAAAAUGAGGCUGGAGGCUCGCUUCUGGUCAGGUGGAGCAUAGUGGGGACAAGACUGCUGAAAGAGGAGGUGUCAAGUGUCAUCACCAAGAGCCAAAUGAAUCCUUUCCUAUCCCUGCAGCUGCCACUGAAUUCAGGGUUUUAUAUCUGUGCUCCCCAUAUAAUACUGUAGCAGUUGCAAGGCCAGAGAAGGGUUAACUUGGCACUUUGCUAAGUGACACCUCUUCUUGCAGCAGUGUGCUGGUCCCAUUAUGAUCUUCUCAGCCAGAAGCUUGACUCCCGGCGCCUCUGUUCCAGUGCUCCAGGGCACAAGCGUGAUCAGGUAUACCCCCGGGAGAGGGGAUCAGAGAGGCAUUCUGGGCAGAGGUGUGACUUAACUUGUGGCUUGGCGACUGCUGCCCUAUCCCAUCUUGAAAAACAGGAAUGCUUAGAGACAGAGGAGGAGUGAGGCAGGGCAGAGAAGCUUAAGAGGCUUGAAAGGGUACAGCCAGGGAUGUUUUUGCAAACAGAGACUGCUUUGCAGUGAAAACAAGUCCUAGUGCUAUUCCUGGUAUCUCUUCACUGCACCAGGGAGAGAAAGAUGUUAAAUAUUACAAAUAUUUUACAUUUGGUAACUUAUGAGUUCAAGUGAGCAGAGGACCUCCUUCUCAUUCAUAUCUACUUUAUAUUGAAUGCAUUUCUGAAAGCAUUACUUUUAUACCUAUGAAAAUACGAGAAACAUCAAGCUUUGAGUGUUUUGAGUCCCUCCUAUAACUACUUUGCUUGGCAAUACCCAAAAUGAAAAUGAUCCUAAUCUUCCUUCAUCUAGAAGCCAGUAAAAUACUAAGCACUGAUUACAAACAUGUAUUUUUAAAUAUACUAUAAUACAUGGAAUGUACUAUAAUAAAAUAUAUACCAUAAUAAACAGAACAAGUGGAAUAUACAUUUGAAAGUGUUACUUUCAGAUAAUACUGAAACCAAAAUGAAAUAAAGUGGAGAUUUCAAAUCUGUACCGUCAGACACAAACACUCAUUUAAAGGAAUGUACAGCCUACCACAAAUGAGAUUUGGGCCACUGUGGGUACAGCAUUCUGCUAUUUUCCUGUGGAGUUUUGGAUUUUUAAAAUGUUUUUAUGCCCAACUUAUUUAUUCACUAACUGCUUAGUGAAAAACAACAUCCCUAGUUGUACCCUCUGUCAAAAAACAAUUUAAUAACUUCAUCCAGAACCCAAUAUACAGAAAUAGUCUUUCUGCGUAUUUCUCGUUUCAGCUGGUCAUAUUUUAUAGUCAUCAGAAUAGUGGGGGAAAUAGAAAAGGUGGCAUGGCACUGCAAUAACACUCUGAGUAAGACUGUAUUACUGGCUAAGGAAAAUAACUCUUAGAUCUUGAAAUGUCUCUGCCCUUUAAGUCCAAAACAAAGCUUUUGUCAAGUAUUGCCUAUAAAAACAGUGCCUUGUGAUUCUGAAUUGUUUAUCCUUUAAGCUCAUCUUUUCACCAAAAGCUCAUUAACCUACAAUGAGAACACCUGCAAUGAGUUGAACCUAGUUUACAUUUUCACAUUUGCACUUUUCCCUAAUUACAUAGGUGGUCCAAUAAAAAAUACCACCCCAAGAAAUCCUUGCCUCUCUCACAUUUUCACUUAAUACUUUCAUUGUUUAGUUUCAGUUUUAUCCUAAUUAAGGCAUGGACCAAUAUCCAUGAGCACAGGCUAGAACACUAGUGAUGCAGAGCAGUAAGCUGGAGGCCACUGGUGCAUGGCAUGAAGCUGGAGGCACUGGUGUGAGACAUAAGGAAGACAGUUUUAUGGAGCAGUCUAAGGGGCUCCAGGGAACAAUGAUAGGCUGGAAAAUGUUACUAAAGUACUGUCGACUGAAAAUUACUAGAGAAAGACAGAUGGAUGGGACGACCGAUAAAAGGAGAAAAAUCUGUAAAAUGGUUGGUUUGAGGGAACUGGUAGACAGAGUCCAUCAGAAGAAAAGCCAAAAGUGGAUGCCCACUGGAGCAAAAGCAACAGCUAGAAAUCACUGGUGUAUGAUACAGGUGAACUUUCUAAGAGCUUGAUUAGUAGAGCACAACAAUUGUACUGCCUGAGUGGGUCAACUAAAGUAAACUUUGCAACCUAAAUAUCAUUCAAGUUAGCCAAGAGACUAGAAUAUACAUUCUGUGUCAGGGGCUGAAAUGACAGAGCUGGGAUAGAAAACUGUACUUUGUUUUUGCAAGUGAUUUCAGUGUGCUGAACAGAGGUGAUUCUACACAUUUAAAUGACAGACUGGCAUACAAACUACAAGUCCAAACCAUGCUGGAUAGUAGGAUAAUGGGAAGACAUAGAUCAAGCUGGGUAUUUGAAUAAAUUUGUGUAUGGUGUUGUCCUACCUCUUCUUAAGGCAGUAUGAUGUGUUGGUAUAUGUUGGCACUGAUCACCUUUCUACAACACCAGAUGUCCAAAGAAAAGGAAGGAGAAAGGAGGAUUCAUGCCACCUUCUUCCAGGCGUGGAUGGGGAUCUGGACCACUAACAAUGAGUUCCAGAUUCUUGCCUGCCCCAUGGCCUGGCAAAUAUUAAACUGCCCCCAUUUCACUGGAAUAGCUGUAGACCACCCAGCAACUGGCUAAGGAGAAGGAAACCCAAGGGUUUUUCUGUCCCUGCGUUUUCCCUCUAAAUCCCAGCAGAGUCACCAGUCCUAGGAGGCUGUACCCUUCCUCCAUCAUACGGACCUAUUACUACCAACACAACUAGCAUGUUUUCAGGUAUGCAGCGGCACACUUUAAAAAAGCUCCUCAAAUUGAGACCUCUAGAAAUCAAUCAGUGGGUCAUAGAGUGGGCAGAGGAGGUGCACAUGGAAAAAUAAUGCUGGCAUUUUGCAAAGCAAUGCUUCUGCCUGUUGUGCUCUAGCCACAACAGCAUGGAGCCCCCCAAAUUAGCCUGUUCAGAGUUCAAUGUUGCUGUGGUAACACUGCUUGCAGUACCAGUACCAACCUAGCUCACUUAUAACUCUUUUAGAUAUCUCUACACUGCACUGUGCUCUGACAUACUCUCUCUUAGUUGCAUACCAACAGGAUUUAACUGUGUCGUGCGUGUUGUUUGCAGAUAGAUAACUAUGCUUAGAGCCAAUGAAUUGUGAUUAAAUAAUCAUUCCAAAAUUGUCAUGUGGUCAGGUCCUUACCUGUGUAUCCAGGUAGGUACUUAUUACCCUUUCCAUUGUCCAGUGCCAGUGCCAUUAUUAGAAUAUACUUUGGGAUGCAUUGGAGCUAGUCCAUCAUCUAUUUGGGAGUUAGUCUGUCAUCUCUGUGGGGUUAGGGUUGGUUCUAUUUCUACACUAUGUUUCCCAUGAUUGCUUCAAUAUUUUCAAUUCUCAAAAUAUGAGACUAUCAUAAUGAAAAUGUACAAAAAAGUAGAACUCCUGGUUCCAAAAUGAUACCUUUUAUUAGACCAACUGGGAAAUUGCAAGAAAAUGGUUCUAAUGAAAAUGUUUAAUUUCUGUAAUAUCAGAAAAAGAAUAAUUAUGCAAAUCAUAUACAAUCAUAGAAAUAAACUGGCAAAUCAAUUUUACAAUAAUCAUCAUUUUGGUGAAUGUUGCCAAUUUCUGUUCACAAACUUGCCUGCAUUUACAAAAGGGGCUAAUUUUAGCAUUGAGGUCUGCUGUUCUUUUAAUAUUGAUAUAAUUCUAGGUAUUCUAAAAAAGUAGAAUGUUUGUUGCUCAAAAAACAGCUCCCCCCCCCCAAAAAAAACCCAAUCAAAACCAAACCAGAAAACAACAAUAAAAAAAUCCCCACGUUGCCAUCCUAAAGCAAUGCAUGAAUGAAAAGCAGUGGAAAAUAGUGGAUGGUAUUAAAAUAAGUAUAUAUUUUUAACAUGUCUACUAUUGGAAUAUGCAUCCGUACAUGAUACAGAUUAGGGAGGUAGAUGUGUGUUCUAAUGGACUGUGGCUUAAAGAGGGACUUGAAAAUGGAGGGAAUAGAUGUAGGAUCCAAACUUAUAAUUCAGUACUACAAUAAUCUAUAAAAUAAGAAAGCAUAUUAAAUCAACUUGGAAUAAAAUACAAAAUAAAACAAACAAAAACCCAGAGUUUGCAGUUAGCCAAACAAUCAUCACUCAGCAUGGAAGCUGAGUGAUCCUUGAAACAGGUGAAUCAAUCUUAGACAGAGGCUGCCAAGGUCAAUGAGUUGCUAUGCUCUAGGAAAUAUUAACAGAUGUAGUAGGAACUGGGAGAUAAAAUGGGCUAAGGCAGCAGUCCUUUCGCAAUAAGAGUUUUGUCUGAAAAGGGACUGUAGGCUUAGAGGCAGGAAACUGAUAAUAGAAUUUGAAGUAAACUGUCCACAAUGACCUGAAGGAAGCAUUAUAAAGGAGUGAUGUCACAGCACAUUAAUUACUGUCAUAAUACUGUUAAGCUAGGUUAGUUUCUGAAGAUAAAGCAGACCUCAGCAGACACUGGGAGUUUAGUAUCAUGCUUCACUUUAAGAUGUUUUAAAUAGCUUUUUAACAUUAUGUUUUGACCACUACAUUUUUUUUCAGGCAAAUUAGAAAUACAGUUUACAAGUAAAAACAUGGGUAUGAUCUCAUCAAGGCUUUUCUAGAGUACCCCAAUAGAAAUAUACUCCUUUUUACCCAGGCAGUAUCCUUCCCCACUUCAUGAUUCCUGUUAUCUUUUCAUUUUAUAUAUCUUUUCACUUUUUAUUUUGACUUUGAAUCGCUCCUGUCACUCCUGUACCUAUUUUGGAAAAUUUGAUUUGCAUAAUGAACAGUUCUGCAGAGAUUCAAAAUAUAAAUGGAAGUGUUUCUACCACUAAAGUGAAUAAAAUGUGAAAGGCCUCAAUCUUCGCAACUGGAUGUGCAUUCAGUAAAACUUGAAAAUUAAGUUGUAUAGAAAGGGAAAUAUUCACCUUUAUCACUAGUUCCCCACACAUUUUCUAAUUGACCAAUCUCAGCCCACCAUUCAGAAGGAAAAAAACUUCAACAUGGCGUAUUAUACUGUUUCUGUAUAACCUUGAUUAUUCACUUUUUGGCAAUUAAAAUACUAACUCUUAAUUCUGGUGACAGACUCAUUUCUGAAAUGAAAUCAGCUAAUCAGCCUGCUCUGUAGCAGAGACAGUAAGUAUUACUAACCUAGUAAGAAGUACAUUUCCUACAGAUAUUAUUAGCACCUUUUCUAGUAAUAACGUUUCCACACCAGGUUAAAAUAAUGGAUUGGGGCAUUAUAAUGUAAUAGGUUGGGAGAAAUGUCUUUGCAACAAAGUGGGGGUGGGUACGUGACAGCUGCAUUUCAUAUAAGUGCGUUCUAAGAAGUUUUCUUUUCCCUUAUUCUAGGUAGCUGACAAAACAAAAUAUCAUCACCCAAAACAAUGGCAUAUGCUAGGUACACAGCGGCAGAAGUAUUUCAUUGUCUCUUGUUUUGUUAAAGUUGGUGCAUCUCUAUGAAGAAAAAAGACAGCUGAGACAGAGGGAGAGAGGCAGGAAACACCAAAGUACCAGAAAGAGAAGCUCUGGUAAUACAGCUCUGAGGGAAAGCUAAGAGAGGGGUCAAAUACUGGCUUAAAGAGAUUUGGAGCUGUGAACAAGAAAGUAUCUAUCCCCUGUUGUUUUUUUCCUUGGGUGUUCAGGGAAAUUGGAGUUUGUACGUUCUGUGUUUGUUAAAUAAACAGGAUUGCUUUAGAAGUACUUGACUGCAUCACCAAUUUCUUUUCAUAGCAGAAACAGCCCACAAAGGUCUGAAUUUUGUUUAAUCAUGCUUUUAGAAGGGGUAACACUAAUUCAAGAUCUUUUCAUAGGAAUAAAUGUUAUUUCUAUAUAAAUCAAACAGAAACAGAAUGCUAUACAACAUGCAGAACAGUAUGAUAUAAAACUGUAACCCUAUCAAGGAGUUUUAAUGGGGGUCUUCAAGAGGAGGCUGGAUAGAU